AGCUUGCUGGGGUACACGAGUGGCGAACGGGUGAGUAACACGUGGGUGACCUGCCCUGCACUUCGGGAUAAGCCUGGGAAACUGGGUCUAAUACCGGAUAGGACCGCACCGUGAGGGUGUGGUGGAAAGUUUUUUCGGUGUGGGAUGGGCCCGCGGCCUAUCAGCUUGUUGGUGGGGUAAUGGCCUACCAAGGCGGCGACGGGUAGCCGGCCUGAGAGGGUGGACGGCCACAUUGGGACUGAGACACGGCCCAGACUCCUACGGGAGGCAGCAGUGGGGAAUAUUGCACAAUGGGCGGAAGCCUGAUGCAGCGACGCCGCGUGGGGGAUGACGGCCUUCGGGUUGUAAACUCCUUUCACCAUCGACGAAGGGUUUCUGACGGUAGAUGGAGAAGAAGCACCGGCUAACUACGUGCCAGCAGCCGCGGUAAUACGUAGGGUGCGAGCGUUGUCCGGAAUUACUGGGCGUAAAGAGCUCGUAGGUGGUUUGUCGCGUCGUCUGUGAAAUUCCGGGGCUUAACUCCGGGCGUGCAGGCGAUACGGGCAUAACUUGAGUACUGUAGGGGAGACUGGAAUUCCUGGUGUAGCGGUGAAAUGCGCAGAUAUCAGGAGGAACACCGGUGGCGAAGGCGGGUCUCUGGGCAGUAACUGACGCUGAGGAGCGAAAGCAUGGGGAGCGAACAGGAUUAGAUACCCUGGUAGCCAUGCCGUAAACGGUGGGCGCUAGGUGUGGGUUUCCUUCCACGGGAUCCGUGCCGUAGCUAACGCAUUAAGCGCCCCGCCUGGGGAGUACGGCCGCAAGGCUAAAACUCAAAGGAAUUGACGGGGGCCCGCACAAGCGGCGGAGCAUGUGGAUUAAUUCGAUGCAACGCGAAGAACCUUACCUGGGCUUGACAUAUACAGGAUCGCGCCAGAGAUGGUGUUUCCCUUGUGGCUUGUAUACAGGUGGUGCAUGGUUGUCGUCAGCUCGUGUCGUGAGAUGUUGGGUUAAGUCCCGCAACGAGCGCAACCCUUGUCUUAUGUUGCCAGCACGUUGUGGUGGGGACUCGUAAGAAACUGCCGGGGUUAACUCGGAGGAAGGUGGGGAUGACGUCAAAUCAUCAUGCCCCUUAUGUCCAGGGCUUCACACAUGCUACAAUGGUCGGUACAGUGGGUUGCCAGUCCGUGAGGGCGAGCUAAUCCCGCAAAGCCGGUCUCAGUUCGGAUCGGGGUCUGCAACUCGACCCCGUGAAGUCGGAGUCGCUAGUAAUCGCAGAUCAGCAACGCUGCGGUGAAUACGUUCCCGGGCCUUGUACACACCGCCCGUCACGUCAUGAAAGUCGGUAACACCCGAAGCCAGUGGCCUA
rnacentral:rRNA from 1 species